UACGUAGGGUCCGAGCGUUGUCCGGAAUUACUGGGCGUAAAGAGCUCGUAGGUGGUUUGUCGCGUUGUCCGUGAAAACUCACAGCUCAACUGUGGGCGUGCGGGCGAUACGGGCAGACUGGAGUACUGCAGGGGAGACUGGAAUUCCUGGUGUAGUGGUGAAAUGCGUAGAGAUUGGGAAGAACACCAGUGGCGAAGGCGGCUAUCUGGACGGUUUCUGACGCUAAGACGCGAAAGCGUGGGGAGCAAACAGG
rnacentral:rRNA from 1 species